rnacentral:rRNA from 1 species
UACGGAGGAUCCGAGCGUUAUCCGGAUUUAUUGGGUUUAAAGGGUGCGCAGGCGGGGGAUUAAGUCGGCGGUGAAAUUUUGCAGCUCAACUGUAAAAGUGCCUUCGAAACUGGUUUCCUUGAGUGUGGAUGAAGUAGGCGGAAUUUGUGGUGUAGCGGUGAAAUGCAUAGAUAUCACGAGGAACUCCGAUUGCGCAGGCAGCUUACUAAACUACUACUGACGCUCAGGCACGAUGGCGUGGGGAUCAAACAGGAUUAGAUACUCCGGUA